GACGAACGCUGGCGGCGUGCUUAACACAUGCAAGUCGAACGGAAAGGCCCUGCUUGCAGGGUGCUCGCGUGUCGAACGGGGGAGUAACACAUGGGUGAUAUGCCCUGCACUUCGUGAUAAGCCUGGGAAACUGGGUCUAAUACCGGAUAGGAGCCAUCUUUAUGGAGAUGGUUGGAAAGUUUUUUCGGUUUGGGAUGGGCUGACGGCCUAUCUGCUUGCUGGUGGGGUAAUGGCCUACCAAGGCGGCUGCGGGUAGCCGGCCCGAGGGGGUGGACGGCCACAAUUGGGCUGAGAUACGGCCCAGACUCCUACGGGAGGCAGCAGUUGGGAAUAUUUGACAAUGGGCGCGAGCCUGAUGCAGCGACGGCGCGUGGGGGAUGACGGCCUUCGGGUUGUAAACUCCUUUCGCUAGGGACGAAGCUUUUUGUGACGGUACCUAGAUAAGAAGCACCGGCUAACUACGUG
rnacentral:rRNA from 1 species